UACGUAGGGUGCGAGCGUUAAUCGGAAUUACUGGGCGUAAAGCGUGCGCAGGCGGUUUUGUAAGACAGGCGUGGAAUCCCCGGGCUCAACCUGGGAAUGGCGCUUGUGACUGCAAAGCUGGAGUGCGGCAGAGGGGGAUGGAAUUCCGCGUGUAGCAGUGAAAUGCGUAGAUAUGCGGAGGAACCCCGAUGGCGAAGGCAAUCCCCUGGGCCUGCACUGACGCUCAUGCACGAAAGCGUGGGGAGCAAACAGG
rnacentral:rRNA from 1 species